AUCUACUCGUCGUUUUCAGUCGACUCGUGAGCGUCGUUCCGAACGUGCACCUGUUUCGAUUAUCUCGUUUACAUUAAAGCUUAUUUUCAUUCUCUCUCUUGACACUUUGAAAAUCUGAUUUGUCGUUGUCGAUCGAAGAGGAGAAGAAGCAUUUCAAAUACAUCGAAGGGAAAAGCUUAUAAGUGAUUAAACACGUUCGAAACAAUUGGUGAAUAAUAAAACGAGAUUAUUCGAGGAAAAGAUAUACGAGGAAUUUUUUUCAAACGCGUAAAUUUAUUUACGUUAAAGGACGAAAAGAGAGGUCAGAGUUUAUAUUACCAGUUGAAGGAAGGAUAUUCAAAAAUGCAUAUGAAGAUAACAUUGUCAUUUCUACUGCUAGUUUGUGUUCUACUAAGAUCGACCGUCGGUAUAAGUCGUCUUCUAAAUUCAGAUUUUGUCUACUUUCCCGAUCAAGCGGAAUACAUUCAGAAAGCUGAACAAUGUCCGGAUAACUUUAUCUUUUGGCCCGGAAAUGGUAAAUGUUACAAAGAAGGUGAAAGAGGACCCUGCAAUGUCGGCCGAGUUUUAAUACUCGACAGACGAUUAUUCAAACCUUACUGCAAGGAUUUUAUAUAGAAGAGUGGUGUUUUAUUUCUGCAAGAGAUGGCAGCACUCGAAGAAAAUUCGAUGUUUCAUCGCAAGU